AGGGCCCUCAAACACAUUUCAAACUGCUCAAACAGUAGACGCUUUUUAACUUCUGUUCCAAUUUCAAAGGUUUGCCAAUCUGCUUCCUCCGACGAGAGUUCUUCUCGAUGGAGGGCCGGUGGAAUGACUUACUGGGAUCCGAUGGUUGAAUUGCAGUCUGCGCUUACUCCCAUGCAAGGAGAAAUAAGCUCGAGUGGCCCAUAACCGUAAUUCAUUUUACACGCCCUUUUCGCUAACAAUGACUGCUUUUUUCCACAGUACAUAGUUUGAUAGUAGAUGGGCGGACAUUC
rnacentral:snoRNA from 1 species